rnacentral:rRNA from 1 species
AUUGAACGCUGGCGGCAGGCCUAACACAUGCAAGUCGAGCGGAUGAAGGGAGCUUGCUCCUGGAUUCAGCGGCGGACGGGUGAGUAAUGCCUAGGAAUCUGCCUGGUAGUGGGGGAUAACGUCCGGAAACGGGCGCUAAUACCGCAUACGUCCUGAGGGAGAAAGUGGGGGAUCUUCGGACCUCACGCUAUCAGAUGAGCCUAGGUCGGAUUAGCUAGUUGGUGGGGUAAAGGCCUACCAAGGCGACGAUCCGUAUCUGGUCUGAGAGGAUGAUCAGUCACACUGGAACUGAGACACGGUCCAGACUCCUACGGGAGGCAGCAGUGGGGAAUAUUGGACAAAGGGCGAAAGCCUGAUCCAGCCAUGCCGCGUGUGUGAAGAAGGUCUUCGGAUUGUAAAGCACUUUAAGUUGGGAGGAAGGGCAGUAAGUUAAUACCUUGCUGUUUUGACGUUACCAACAGAAUAAGCACCGGCUAACUUCGUG